UAAGCGACUAAGCGUACACGGUGGAUGCCCUGGCAGUCAGAGGCGAUGAAGGACGUGCUAAUCUGCGAUAAGCGUCGGUAAGGUGAUAUGAACCGUUAUAACCGGCGAUUUCCGAAUGGGGAAACCCAGUGUGAUUCGUCACACUAUCAUUAACUGAAUCCAUAGGUUAAUGAGGCGAACCGGGGGAACUGAAACAUCUAAGUACCCCGAGGAAAAGAAAUCAACCGAGAUUCCCCCAGUAGCGGCGAGCGAACGGGGAGCAGCCCAGAGCCUGAAUCAGUGUGUGUGUUAGUGGAAGCGUCUGGAAAGGCGCGCGAUACAGGGUGACAGCCCCGUACACAAAAAUGCACAUGCUGUGAGCUCGAUGAGUAGGGCGGGACACGUGGUAUCCUGUCUGAAUAUGGGGGGACCAUCCUCCAAGGCUAAAUACUCCUGACUGACCGAUAGUGAACCAGUACCGUGAGGGAAAGGCGAAAAGAACCCCGGCGAGGGGAGUGAAAAAGAACCUGAAACCGUGUACGUACAAGCAGUGGGAGCACGCUUAGGCGUGUGACUGCGUACCUUUUGUAUAAUGGGUCAGCGACUUAUAUUCUGUAGCAAGGUUAACCGAAUAGGGGAGCCGAAGGGAAACCGAGUCUUAACUGGGCGUUAAGUUGCAGGGUAUAGACCCGAAACCCGGUGAUCUAGCCAUGGGCAGGUUGAAGGUUGGGUAACACUAACUGGAGGACCGAACCGACUAAUGUUGAAAAAUUAGCGGAUGACUUGUGGCUGGGGGUGAAAGGCCAAUCAAACCGGGAGAUAGCUGGUUCUCCCCGAAAGCUAUUUAGGUAGCGCCUCGUGAAUUCAUCUCCGGGGGUAGAGCACUGUUUCGGCAAGGGGGUCAUCCCGACUUACCAACCCGAUGCAAACUGCGAAUACCGGAGAAUGUUAUCACGGGAGACACACGGCGGGUGCUAACGUCCGUCGUGAAGAGGGAAACAACCCAGACCGCCAGCUAAGGUCCCAAAGUCAUGGUUAAGUGGGAAACGAUGUGGGAAGGCCCAGACAGCCAGGAUGUUGGCUUAGAAGCAGCCAUCAUUUAAAGAAAGCGUAAUAGCUCACUGGUCGAGUCGGCCUGCGCGGAAGAUGUAACGGGGCUAAACCAUGCACCGAAGCUGCGGCAGCGACGCUUAUGCGUUGUUGGGUAGGGGAGCGUUCUGUAAGCCUGUGAAGGUGUGCUGUGAGGCAUGCUGGAGGUAUCAGAAGUGCGAAUGCUGACAUAAGUAACGAUAAAGCGGGUGAAAAGCCCGCUCGCCGGAAGACCAAGGGUUCCUGUCCAACGUUAAUCGGGGCAGGGUGAGUCGACCCCUAAGGCGAGGCCGAAAGGCGUAGUCGAUGGGAAACAGGUUAAUAUUCCUGUACUUGGUGUUACUGCGAAGGGGGGACGGAGAAGGCUAUGUUGGCCGGGCGACGGUUGUCCCGGUUUAAGCGUGUAGGCUGGUUUUCCAGGCAAAUCCGGAAAAUCAAGGCUGAGGCGUGAUGACGAGGCACUACGGUGCUGAAGCAACAAAUGCCCUGCUUCCAGGAAAAGCCUCUAAGCAUCAGGUAACAUCAAAUCGUACCCCAAACCGACACAGGUGGUCAGGUAGAGAAUACCAAGGCGCUUGAGAGAACUCGGGUGAAGGAACUAGGCAAAAUGGUGCCGUAACUUCGGGAGAAGGCACGCUGAUAUGUAGGUGAAGUCCCUCGCGGAUGGAGCUGAAAUCAGUCGAAGAUACCAGCUGGCUGCAACUGUUUAUUAAAAACACAGCACUGUGCAAACACGAAAGUGGACGUAUACGGUGUGACGCCUGCCCGGUGCCGGAAGGUUAAUUGAUGGGGUCAGCGCAAGCGAAGCUCUUGAUCGAAGCCCCGGUAAACGGCGGCCGUAACUAUAACGGUCCUAAGGUAGCGAAAUUCCUUGUCGGGUAAGUUCCGACCUGCACGAAUGGCGUAAUGAUGGCCAGGCUGUCUCCACCCGAGACUCAGUGAAAUUGAACUCGCUGUGAAGAUGCAGUGUACCCGCGGCAAGACGGAAAGACCCCGUGAACCUUUACUAUAGCUUGACACUGAACAUUGAGCCUUGAUGUGUAGGAUAGGUGGGAGGCUUAGAAGUGUGGACGCCAGUCUGCAUGGAGCCGACCUUGAAAUACCACCCUUUAAUGUUUGAUGUUCUAACGUUGACCCGUAAUCCGGGUUGCGGACAGUGUCUGGUGGGUAGUUUGACUGGGGCGGUCUCCUCCUAAAGAGUAACGGAGGAGCACGAAGGUUGGCUAAUCCUGGUCGGACAUCAGGAGGUUAGUGCAAUGGCAUAAGCCAGCUUGACUGCGAGCGUGACGGCGCGAGCAGGUGCGAAAGCAGGUCAUAGUGAUCCGGUGGUUCUGAAUGGAAGGGCCAUCGCUCAACGGAUAAAAGGUACUCCGGGGAUAACAGGCUGAUACCGCCCAAGAGUUCAUAUCGACGGCGGUGUUUGGCACCUCGAUGUCGGCUCAUCACAUCCCGGGGCUGAAGUAGGUCCCAAGGGUAUGGCUGUUCGCCAUUUAAAGUGGUACGCGAGCUGGGUUUAGAACGUCGUGAGACAGUUCGGUCCCUAUCUGCCGUGGGCGCUGGAGAACUGAGGGGGGCUGCUCCUAGUACGAGAGGACCGGAGUGGACGCAUCACUGGUGUUCGGGUUGUCAUGCCAAUGGCACUGCCCGGUAGCUAAAUGCGGAAGAGAUAAGUGCUGAAAGCAUCUAAGCACGAAACUUGCCCCGAGAUGAGUUCUCCCUGACCCUUUAAGGAUCCUGAAGGAACGUUGAAGACGACGACGUUGAUAGGCCGGGUGUGUAAGCGCAGCGAUGCGUUGAGCUAACCGGUACUAAUGAACCGUGAGGCUUAACCU
rnacentral:rRNA from 1 species